GGUUCGGUAGCUCAGGUGGCAGAGCAUGGUGACGGGUGCGGCGAGUGCGCAUCAGCCAAUCCCAACUGAUCCGAGGUCGCUGGUUCGAGUCCAGCCCGAUCCU
rnacentral:tRNA from 1 species